rnacentral:ncRNA from 1 species
UUCAUGGAGAGUUUGAUCCUGGCUCAGGACGAACGCUGGCGGCGUGCCUAAUACAUGCAAGUCGAGCGAAUCCUGAGGUGCUUGCACCUCUUGGUUAGCGGCGGACGGGUGAGUAACACGUGGGCAACCUGCCUGUAAGACUGGGAUAACAUCGGGAAACCGAUGCUAAUACCGGAUAAUCCUUUUCCUCUCAUGAGGGAAAGCUGAAAGUCGGCUUCUCGCUGACACUUACAGAUGGGCCCGCGGCGCAUUAGCUAGUUGGUGAGGUAACGGCUCACCAAGGCGACGAUGCGUAGCCGACCUGAGAGGGUGAUCGGCCACACUGGGACUGAGACACGGCCCAGACUCCUACGGGAGGCAGCAGUAGGGAA